AUACAUGCAAGUCGAGCGGACAGAUGGGAGCUUGCUCCCUGAUGUYAGCGGCGGACGGGUGAGUAACACGUGGGUAACCUGCCUGUAAGACUGGGAUAACUCCGGGAAACCGGGGCUAAUACCGGAUGCUUGAUUGAACCGCAUGGUUCAAUUAUAAAAGGUGGCUUUUAGCUACCACUUACAGAUGGACCCGCGGCGCAUUAGCUAGUUGGUGAGGUAACGGCUCACCAAGGCAACGAUGCGUAGCCGACCUGAGAGGGUGAUCGGCCACACUGGGACUGAGACACGGCCCAGACUCCUACGGGAGGCAGCAGUAGGGAAUCUUCCGCAAUGGACGAAAGUCUGACGGAGCAACGCCGCGUGAGUGAUGAAGGUUUUCGGAUCGUAAAACUCUGUUGUUAGGGAAGAACAAGUACCGUUCGAAUAGGGCGGUACCUUGACGGUACCUAACCAGAAAGCCACGGCUAACUACGUGCCAGCAGCCGCGGUAAUACGUAGGUGGCAAGCGUUGUCCGGAAUUAUUGGGCGUAAAGSGCGCGCAGGCGGUUUCUUAAGUCUGAUGUGAAAGCCCCCGGCUCAACCGGGGAGGGUCAUUGGAAACUGGGGAACUUGAGUGCAGAAGAGGAGAGUGGAAUUCCACGUGUAGCGGUGAAAUGCGUAGAGAUGUGGAGGAACACCAGUGGCGAAGGCGACUCUCUGGUCUGUAACUGACGCUGAGGCGCGAAAGCGUGGGGAGCGAACAGGAUUAGAUACCCUGGUAGUCCACGCCGUAAACGAUGAGUGCUAAGUGUUAGAGGGUUUCCGCCYCUUUAGUGCUGCAGCAAACGCAUUAAGCACUCCGCCUGGGGAGUACGGUCGC
rnacentral:rRNA from 1 species